CACGUAGUUAGCCGGCGCUUUUUCUGCAGGUACCGUCACUUUCGCUUCUUCCCUGCUAAAAGAGGUUUACAACCCGAAGGCCGUCGUCCCUCACGCGGCGUUGCUGCAUCAGGCUUUCGCCCAUUGUGCAAUAUUCCCCACUGCUGCCUCCCGUAGGAGUCUGGGCCGUGUCUCAGUCCCAGUGUGGCCGGUCACCCUCUCAGGCCGGCUACCCGUCGACGCCUUGGUGAGCCAUUACCUCACCAACAAGCUGAUAGGCCGCGAGCUCAUCCCUGACCGAAAUUCUUUCCAAACGUCGACCAUGCGGUCACGUCUCGUAUCCGGUAUUAGCAGCUGUUUCCAACUGUUAUCCCAGAGUCAGGGGCAGAUUGCUCACGUGUUACUCACCCGUUCGCCACUGAUCCAAAGAGCAAGCUCUCCUUCACCGUUCGACUUGCAUGUGUUAAGCACGCCGCCAGCGUUCAUCCUGAGCCAGGAUCAAACUC
rnacentral:rRNA from 1 species